CGCACGAAGCUGUCUGCUUGGAUCUCACCUCUGGUGCAGUGUGCGUCUCCGGACAAGUUCUCUGGCCAUGAGCCGGCUCUCCCAUCACCGGUGAAGGAUGUAGACAGACGUGUGGUGGAAGGAGCUCUUUGCACAUCGAAUUCCUGUAAGUUUCAGUCUGACUGAAAGGAUUUGUUCUAUUCCUGUGCUUGGAGAGUCUUCCCAACCCAGGGAUCGAACCUGGGUCUCCUGCAUUGCAGUGGAUUCUUUACCAACUGAGCCAAGGCCACGGUUUAACUUGCAGGUCACCACCUCCCUCUAGAUGGUGUUGACCUUCCAAGACAACCUUCUGAGCCUGUUUCCACAUUUGAAAGACUACUUCUGAGGGUACUGAGAGGAUUAAACGAGGUAUCUUGUGACAGUCACUUAAAACUGUGCCUGAGACUUAAUCUUUCAAUGGAAGACCUCCAGAGCAUAUAAGCGUGGAUGUAAACACAGAACAAAUAAUUUGCGUACAAAUCUGUGCACUGAAAUCCCAGACACAUCCAUCUCAGAGCGGGUGACCAUCCGGAGCAUGCCCGUCAGCCCUGUGUUCCUGGGAUGCAGUGUGGUUUUCAGCGCGAUGUGGGACUCACAUCCCUGAACAGAGAGAGAUGCUACUCAGGGAGAAGCCUGUUUGCUUCUGGCUGAAAAGACCGAGGCUAAACCUCAUCUCCCCACACUUCACACCUGGGAAGUGAUUUGGGGUGUUACUACAGGAAUCCAGACAGCGUUUAUUUGCAGCCACAGUGAGCACAGACUCUGUGGCACCAACAUGUUUCUUCAGCACUUUAUUUGCGAAAAUGUCUGCUCCGCGCCGCUGCCCUGCAAAAACGUGUGUCCUCCUGUUUGUGCACAAACACACACACGUCUCCCAGCCCUCCUCCUGGCCACGUUGUAUCACCUUCUCUGCGUCUCCACGUCCCUACAUCACGCGCUUCUCCAGGGACCUUCCAGGCCCUCCUGGUCUUAGAGACCCGGCACACAGUCAGUGGUUGGGCCAACACUUCCAGUUUCCUGAGAACCACAAUCGCCCCCAGCCCCCAACCUCAGCAGGGCUGCCAGAAGCGUGUGGAGGACGCCAGGCCUAUUCUGCACGGCUGGUGGGAGAAAACAAGAUCCUGCCCUGCAGACGAAGGUCUGGGUCCACACCCGCAGUCCUGCCUGCCUAGGGGCUGUCUGCUCCCUUCUCUUCGGAAUCUUCAAGCAUAGCCAAGAUUUGGAAGCAACCCAGGUGUCCACGGAUCACGGAUGGAUAAAGAUGUUGCGGUUUACAUACACAACAGAGUAUUCCUCGGCUAUAAAAAAGAAGGACACCUUGUCAUUUGCGGCAACAGAGAUGGGUCUGGAGAGCAUUAUACUAAGCGAAAUAAGUCAGAGGGAAACAAAUGCCAUGUAAUUUCACCUGUAUGUGGAAUCUGAAAAAGAAAACAAAACGGGAAGACUCACAGUUACAGAGGAAGGGAUGGAUUAAAUAGAUGAAGGCUCUUUAGAGGGACAGACUCCCAGUCUAAGAG